rnacentral:rRNA from 1 species
GUUUGAUUCUGGCUCAGAUUGAACGCUGGCGGGAUGCUUUACAUGCAAGUCAGACGGCAGCACGGACUUCGGUCUGGUGGCGAGUGGCGAACGAGGUGAGUAAUGUAUCGGAACGUGCUAGUAGCGGGGGAUAAAGCGUAGCUAAUACCGCAUACGCCCUUCGAGGAAAGCGGGGACCCUUCGGGCCUCGCACUAUUAGAGCGGCCGAUAUCGGAUUAGCUAGUUGGUGGGGUAACGGCUCACCAAGGCGACGAUCCGUAGCUGGUUUGAGAGGACGACCAGCCACACUGGGACUGAGACACAGCCCCAGACUCCUACGGGAGGCAGCAGUGGGGGAAUUUUGGACAAUGGGAAGCCCUGAUCCAGCCAUCCCGCGUGUGCGAUGAAGGCCUUCGGGUUGUAAAGCACUUUUGGCAGGAAAGAAACGGCACGGGAUAAUACCCCGUGCAACUGACGGUACCUGCAGAAUAAGCACCGGCUAACUACGUGCCAGCAGCCGCGGUAAUACGUAGGGUGCAGCGUUAAUCAGGUACUGGGCGUAAAGCGUGCGCAGGCGGUUCGGAAGAAGAUGUGAAAUCCCAGAGCUUAACUGGAACUGCAUUUUUAACUACCGGUAGAGUGUGUCAGAGGGAGGUGGAAUUCCGCGUGUAGCAGUGAAAUGCGUAGAUAUGCGGAGGAACACCGAUGGCGAAGGCAGCCUCCCUGGGAUAGCAACACUGACGCUCAUGCACGAAAGCGUGGGGCAAAGCAGUUGAUACCCUGGUAGUCCACGCCUAAACGAUGUCAACUAGCUGUUGGGGCCUUCGGGCCUGGUAGCGCAACUAACGCGUGAAGUUGACCGCCUGGGGGAGUACGGUCGCAAGAUUAAAACUCAAAGGAAUUGACGGGACCCCCGCGGCGGUGGAUGAUGUGGAUUAAUUCGAUGCAACGCGAAAAACCUUACCUACCCUUGACAUGUCUGGAAUCCCGAAGAGAUUUGGGAGUGCUCGCAAGAGAACCGGAACACAGGUGCUGCAUGGCUGUCGUCAGCUCGUGUCAGGCGAGAUGUUGGGUUAAGUCCCGCAACGCGAGCGCAGCCUUGUCUGGAUUCACGAAGGGCGCUCUCGUGAGGCUUGCCGGUGACAAGCCGGAGGAGAGGUGAGAUGACGUCGAGUCCUCAUGUGCUUAUGGUGGGGCUACCACGAUCAUACAAUGGUCGGGACAGAGGGUCGCCAACCCGCGAGGGGGAGCCAAUCCCAGAAACCCGAUCGUGAAUCCGGAUCGCAGUCUGCAACUCGACUGCGUGAAGUCAGAAUCGCCCAGUAAUCGCCGGAUCAGCAUGUCGCGGUGAAUACGUUCGGGUCUUAUACCACACCCCGUCACACCAUGGGAGUGGGUUUUGCAGAAGUAGUUAGCCUAACCGUAAGGCGAUUACCACAUUGGAUUCAUGACUGGGGUGAAGUCGUAACAAAGGUAACUCUGUUACUACCUGAUGCA